GAAGAUUUUCUCAGUCUGUGAAGAAUCUCACACUUCAAAUUUCAGUUCACAGGGGCCAGAGCUGAAGACAAUCUCAAACUAGUGAAAAAAAGCCCAACUCAGGAAGCAGGCUGGAGAACGAUAGGAACACCACUGCUGUCAGAGCCAGCAUCUUUUGUGAGAAGGAGACCAGCUCAGCCAACAUUUUAUAAGCCCCCACACAAAAGGGCACAAUAACAGACCCAUCUCUGUAUCAAACAGACUUCUAUUGAAAUUUCCCUGGAGUUUUGCACCUGUUCCUGUUUUUGUGCUGUAUUUGGAAAGGUGCCAUUUGUGGCAGAGGUUUACUUUACUGGUUUUUAUUGCAGCUAGUCACUCAAA